GCAACGGUGGCGUAGUGGUAGACGUUACUGGCCUCCUAAUCAGUCGCCGCGCGCUGUGAGGGUUCGAAUCCCGUCCCAAGCG